ACUCUUCAACCCACCAGUUUCUAGUAAAUUGGAUGGUGUGUGGAUUUUGAGUGUUGCUGGUUCUUUCGGACGUAGCUCAUUCGUAAUACAUUAGCAUCUCAAUUUCGAACUUCGGAUUGACUCAGCGUAAUAGACUAUUCGUUGAGGACACCUCACGGUGGCCGAAUAAGAAGACAGUUAGAAGCUUCUAAUCAGAUCUUAGUCGACUUUUAG
rnacentral:misc_RNA from 1 species